rnacentral:rRNA from 1 species
AUUGAACGCUGGCGGCAGGCCUAACACAUGCAAGUCGAGCGGAUGAAGGGAGCUUGCUCCUGGAUUCAGCGGCGGACGGGUGAGUAAUGCCUAGGAAUCUGCCUGGUAGUGGGGGAUAACGUCCGGAAACGGGCGCUAAUACCGCAUACGUCCUGAGGGAGAAAGUGGGGGAUCUUCGGACCUCACGCUAUCAGAUGAGCCUAGGUCGGAUUAGCUAGUUGGUGGGGUAAAGGCCUACCAAGGCGACGAUCCGUAACUGGUCUGAGAGGAUGAUCAGUCACACUGGAACUGAGACACGGUCAAGACUACUACGGGAGGCAGCAGUGGGGAAUAUUGGACAAUGGGCGAAAGCCUGAUCCAGCCAUGCCGCGUGUGUGAAGAAGGUCUUCGGAUCGUAAAGCACUUUAAGUUGGGAGGAAGGGCAGUAAGUUAAUACCUUGCUGUUUUGACGUUACCAACAGAAUAAGCACCGGCUAACUUCGUG